AUACGAAAGGUGCGAGCGUUGUUCGGAUUUACUGGGCGUAAAGCGAGUGUAGGUGGUUUGUUAAGUCGGAUGUGAAAUCCCGGGGCUCAACCUCGGAACUGCAUUCGAUACUGGCAGGCUAGAGUUCGGGAGGGGUAAGCGGAAUUCCGUGUGUAGCAGUGAAAUGCGUAGAUAUACGGAGGAACACCUGAGGCGAAGGCGGCUUACUGGACCGAUACUGACACUCAGACUCGAAAGCGUGGGUAGCAAACAGGAUUAGAAACCCCAGUAGUCC
rnacentral:rRNA from 1 species